UCUGGGAAGUAGCACCCUGCAAUACAAUUCGCUUUAAAUAGCGGCUGUUCGCAUGUCGUUCUCAGAUUUCUGUUGUGGCGAUCAUGAGGUGCAGCAAGAUUUUCAUCGCCGGAUUCGUCCUCCUGGCGGGUGCGUCGAUGCUCCUCGCCUGUGAACCGGGUGUUACUGCUGAAUGCUGCGGGGAACAUUCGUAUGCAUGCUGCAAAAAGGUCACCAUGUUCAUUUUUUGGCAUUAUACGGUCUGCGGCAGUGUCAGGUACUUGCCUGAUCAAAAGGCAAUAGUGAUCACCGCUUCUAUUGAUGGCGUAGAAAAGCUGAAUUUCACCAAACCUGUUUCCAAGUUUCGUAAAGAAUGGCGUUGCGAAUACCUAGCUGAAGACCAUUUCGACUUGUGCUAUAAUCCGUACGACUUGCUACAGUGGAGCCCAACGUCACUGCACUUUUGCAGCGAAUUAUGGAUCAGGCAUUACGGAAUCACACUCUAUAAAAUUGGAAAUGUGUGUUUCUUCCUGGGCGAAGAAGGAGACAGGAAUGUCUGCCCACAAGAUCAAAACACCACUUCUACUUCCUUGCGUUUAAAUUAAU